rnacentral:tRNA from 1 species
GCCUGGGUGGCUCAGUCGGUUGAGCAUCUGACUUUGGCUCAGGUCAUGAUCUCACGGUCUGUGAGUUUGAGCCCCACUUCGGGCU